rnacentral:rRNA from 1 species
AGCGAACGCUGGCGGCAGGCUUAACACAUGCAAGUCGAGCGGAUGUAGCAAUACAUCAGCGGCAGACGGGUGAGUAACACGUGGGAACGUACCUUUUGGUUCGGAACAACACAGGGAAACGUUGUGCUAAUACCGGAUAAGCCCUUACGGGAAGAUUAUCGCCGAAAGAUCGGCCCGCGUCUGAUUAGCUAGUUGGUGAGGUAACGGCUCACCAAGGCGACGAUCAGUAGCUGGUCUGAGAGGAUGAUCAGCCACAUUGGGUACGUGAGACACGGCCCAAACUCCUACGGGAGGCAGCAGUGGGGAAGUAUUGGGCGAAUGGGCGCAAGUCUGAUCCAGCCAUGCCGCGUGAGUGAUG